rnacentral:rRNA from 1 species
AGUGAACGCUGGCGGUAGGCCUAACACAUGCAAGUCGAACGGCAGCACAGUAAGAGCUUGCUCUUACGGGUGGCGAGUGGCGGACGGGUGAGGAAUACAUCGGAAUCUACUUUUUCGUGGGGGAUAACGUAGGGAAACUUACGCUAAUACCGCAUACGACCUACGGGUGAAAGCAGGUGAUCUUCGGACCUUGCGCGAUUGAAUGAGCCGAUGUCGGAUUAGCUAGUUGGCGGGGUAAAGGCCCACCAAGGCGACGAUCCGUAGCUGGUCUGAGAGGAUGAUCAGCCACACUGGAACUGAAACACGGUCCAGACUCCUACGGGAGGCAGCAGUGGGGAAUAUUGGACAAUGGGCGCAAGCCUGAUCCAGCCAUACCGCGUGAGUGAAGAAAGCCUUCGGGUUGUAAAGCCCUUUUGUAGGGAAAGAAAAGCAGAAGGUUAAUACCCCGCUGUUCUGACGGUACCCAAAGAAUAAGCACCGGCUAACUUCGUG